rnacentral:rRNA from 1 species
CAAGUCGCACGAGAAAGGGGAGCAAUCCCUGAGUACAGUGGCGUACGGGUGAGUAACACGUGGAUGAUCUACCUUCUAGUGGGGAAUAACCCUGGGAAACCGGGGCUAAUACCGCAUAAGCUCGAGAGAGGAAAGCAGCAAUGCGCUGGAAGAGGAGUCCGCGGCCGAUUAGCUAGUUGGCAGGGUAAAAGCCUACCAAGGCAGAGAUCGGUAGCCGGCCUGAGAGGGCACACGGCCACACUGGCACUGAAACACGGGCCAGACUCCUACGGGAGGCAGCAGUGGGGAAUCUUGCACAAUGGGGGAAACCCUGAUGCAGCGACGCCGCGUGAGCGAUGAAGCCCUUCGGGGUGUAAAGCUCUUUCGGCAGGGAAGAUGAUGACGGUACCUGCAGAAGCAGCUGCGGCUAACUACGUGCCAGCAGCCGCGGUAAUACGUAGGCAGCGAGCGUUGUUCGGAGUUACUGGGCGUAAAGGGUGCGUAGGCGGUUGUUUAAGUUUGGUGUGAAAUCUCCCGGCUCAACUGGGAGGGUGCGCCGAAUACUGAAUGACUAGAGUGCGGGAGAGGAGAGUGGAAUUCCUGGUGUAGCGGUGAAAUGCGUAGAUAUCAGGAGGAACACCGGUGGUGUAGACGGCUCUCUGGACUGUAACUGACGCUGAGGCACGAAAGCGUGGGUAGCAAACAGGAUUAGAUACCCUGGUAGUCCACGCCCUAAACGAUGCAUAUUUGGUGUGGGCAGUUCAGUCUGUCCGUGCCGGAGCUAACGCGUUAAAUAUGCCGCCUGGGGGAGUACAGUCGCCAAGGCUGAAACUC